UCAAGCUACUAAGGGCAUACGGUGGAUGCCUAGGCGCCAAGAGCCGAAGAAGGACGCGGUAAGCUGCGAAAAGCCACGGGGAACUGCAAGCAAGUAUUGAUCCGUGGAUAUCCGAAUGGGGAAACCCGGCCAUCGUCAUGGAUGGUCACCCGCAAGGGAGGGAACCUGGGGAACUGAAACAUCUAAGUACCCGGAGGAAGAGAAAUCAAACGAGAUGCCCACAGUAGCGGCGAGCGAAGAGGGCAGAGCCCAAACCGAGAAGCUCCGGCUUUUCGGGGUUGAGGACCGGCAGAAUCGAAGUCAGGCCUAGUUGAAUUACCUGGAAAGGUAAGCGAGAGAGGGUAAAAGCCCCGUAGACGAAAGGCAGAGCAGAGAGGCCGAGAUCCAGAGUACCACGAAGCACGAGGAAUUUUGUGGGAAGCAGGGGGGACCACCCUCCAAGGCUAAAAACUACUUGGCGACCGAUAGCGCAUAGUACCGUGAGGGAAAGGUGAAAAGAACCCCGGGAGGGGAGUGAAAUAGUACCUGAAACCGUAUGUCUACAAGCAGUCGAAGCGAAAGCGACGGCGUGCCUAUUGAAGAAUGAACCAACGAGUUAUCUGCACUAGCGAGGUUAAGUGGAAGACACGGAGCCGCAGCGAAAGCGAGUCUUAAGAGGGCGCUAGUUAGUGUAGGUAGACCCGAAACCGCAGUGAUCUACCCAUGUCCAGGUUGAAGCGCAGGUAAAAUUGCGUGGAGGACCGAACCGGUGAGCGUUGAAAAGCUUUCGGAUGAGAUGUGGGUAGGGGUGAAAUUCCAAUCGAACGCGGAGAUAGCUGGUUCUCCCCGAAAUAGCUUUAGGGCUAGCCUGAGGUAGUAAGUAUAGGCGGUAGAGCACUGAUCGGGCUAGGGGCCGUAAAGGUUACCGAACCCUGUCAAACUCCGAAUGGAUAUACUGUAGAGCCUUGGAGUCAGACUACGAGUGAUAAGAUCCGUGGUCAAAAGGGAAACAGCCCAGACCACCAGCUAAGGUCCCCAAUGUCGUACUAAGUGGAAAAGGAUGUGGGGUUUCAUAAACAACCAGGAUGUUGGCUCAGAAGCAGCCACCAUUUAAAGAGUGCGUAAUAGCUCACUGGUCGAGAGACCCUGCGCCGAAGAUUCCCGGGGCUAAAGUACGAAACCGAAGCUGUGGCUGUAUACGUAAAGUAUACGGGGUAGGGGAGCGUUCCCAUAGGGUAGAAGUCGAACUGGAAGGUUCGGUGGACUUGUGGGAAGUGAGAAUGUUGGUAUGAGUAGCGAAAAGAAAGGUGAGAAUCCUUUCCACCGAAAGCAUAAGGAUUCCUGAGCAACGAUCGUCGUCUCAGGGUAAGUCGGGACCUAAUCCGAGGCAGAGAGCGUAGGAGAUGGACAACUGGUUGAUAUUCCAGUACCGGUAGUAAUUGUUUGAGCAAUGGAGUGACACAGAAGGGCAGGCAAGCAUGCGAAUGGAAGAGCAUGUGUAAGCGUGUAGGGUGGUGCAUAGGCAAAUCCGUGCACUGAAAGCCUGAGGCGUGAUGCGGAGUGAGCAGAGAUGCGAGCGAAGUUGUUGACCCCACACUGUCGAGAAAAGCUUCUAGUGAGAGAGCUACCGCCCGUACCGUAAACCGACACAGGUAUGCGGGGAGAGAAUCCUAAGGUGCGCGGGAGAACCCUCGUUAAGGAACUCGGCAAAAUGUACCCGUAACUUCGGGAUAAGGGUAGCCACUGUUGUGAAGUCCCAUGCGGAUGGAGCAUAGAGUGGUCGCAGAGAAGAGGCCCAAGCGACUGUUUACCAUAAACACAGGUGCCUGCUAAAGCGAAAGCUGACGUAUAGGUGCUGACACCUGCCCAGUGCCGGAAGGUUAAGGAAGGAUGUUCGGAUUAGUCCAAAGCAUUCGACUGAAGCCCCGGUGAACGGCGGCCGUAACUAUAACGGUCCUAAGGUAGCGAAAUUCCUUGUCGGGUAAGUUCCGACCCGCACGAAAGGUGUAACGAUUUGGGCACUGUCUCAACGAGGGACCCGGUGAAAUUGAAAUACCUGUGAAGAUGCAGGUUACCCGCG
rnacentral:rRNA from 1 species